rnacentral:rRNA from 1 species
CAUGAAGCUGGAAUCGCUAGUAAUCGCAGGUCAGCAUACUGCGGUGAAUACGUUCCCGGGUCUUGUACACACCGCCCGUCACACCAUGGGAGCCGGAAAUGCCCGAAGCCAGUGACCCAACCUUAGGGAGGGAGCUGUCGAAGGUGGAGCCGGUAACUGGGGUGAAGUCGUAACAAGGUACC